UAGAGUUUGAUCCUGGCUCAGGACGAACGCUGGCGGCGCGCUUAACACAUGCAAGUCGAACGCUCUUCAUACCUUCGGGUGUGGAGGGAGUGGCGAACGGGUGCGUAACACGUGAGCAACCUGCCUGGAUCCGGGGGAUAACCGAGGGAAACCUCGGCUAAUACCGCAUGGGCCUUCUGGCUGAAGGCCGGGGGGUGAAAGGUCUUUCGGGGCCGGGUCUGGAGGGGCUCGCGGCGUAUCAGCUAGCUGGUGAGGUAACGGCUCACCAGGGCGACGACGCGUAGCCGGUCUGAGAGGAUGAUCGGCCACAUUGGGACUGAGAUACGGCCCAGACUCCUACGGGAGGCAGCAGUGGGGAAUCUUGCGCAAUGGGCGAAAGCCUGACGCAGCGACGCCGCGUGCGGGAGGACGGCCUUCGGGUUGUAAACCCGCUGUCAGAGGGGACGAUAAUGACGGACCCAG
rnacentral:rRNA from 1 species